rnacentral:rRNA from 1 species
CGGAGGGUGCAAGCGUUGUCCGGAUUUAUUGGGUUUAAAGGGUGCGUAGGCGGCUAAUUAAGUCAGCGGUGAAAUUCCACAGCUUAACUGUGGAACUGCCAUUGAUACUGGUUGGCUUGAGUACAGAUGAGGUAGGCGGAAUUGACAGUGUAGCGGUGAAAUGCUUAGAUAUUGUCAAGAACACCUAUUGCGAAGGCAGCUUACUAAGCUGUAACUGACGCUGAGGCACGAAAGCGUGGGGAUCAAACAGGAUUAGAUACCCUGGUAGUCCACGCCGUAAACGAUGAUUACUCGAUGUGUGCGAUAGACAGUACGCGUCCAAGCGAAAGCGUUAAGUAAUCCACCUGGGGAGUACGCCCGCAAGAGUG